rnacentral:rRNA from 1 species
GUAGGGAAUAUUGCACAAUGGGGGAAACCCUGAUGCAGCGACGCCGCGUGAGUGUUGAAGGCCUUCGGGUCGUAAAGCUCUGUCGUAUGGGACUAACACAAUGAAGGUACCAUGCAAGAAAGGAUCGGCUAACUUCGUGCCAGCAGCCGCGGUAAGACGAGGGAUCCUAGCGUUGUUCGGAAUCAUUGGGCGUAAAGCGGGUGUAGGCGGAUUUAUAAGUCAGGUGUGAAAUCCCAGGGCUCAACCCUGGAAGUGCACUUGAUACUGUAAAUCUUGAGUGUGGUAGAGGUUACUGGAAUUGUUGGUGUAGUGGUGAAAUACGUAGAUAUCAACAGGAAUACCGGAGGCGAAGGCGAGUAACUGGGCCAACACUGACGCUGAGACCCGAAAGCGUGGGGAUCAAACAGGAUUAGAAACCCGUGUAGUCC